rnacentral:lncRNA from 1 species
UUGUUUGAUCUACGAAUCAAUUCCAAAAUUGUCUGCUAAUCAAGCUAUUACGUCUCCGUUUAUCAUCUUUUCAUCUCAAAUUCGGAUUACUACAAAGAGGUAAGCUUUUUAUUGAUUCAGAUUUAGGCAACUACUAAUUUUAAAAAAAAAUUAAUUCGAUUCCCACUCUUUGAAAUUCUCUGUUUGAACAGUUCUUUAACAAUGAUUGUCAAGAACCCAGAUCGUUACAUAUAUUCGAUUGGGCUUUUGUAUUAAAUAUAUGUCUUUUUUGUUUUUCUGACAGAUAAUUGUUUUAGAAGAACUCUUGUUUUAUCGUCUCUACAACACACCCUAAAAUUGUCUGACGAUUGUUCUUAAAAGGAACCGAUUGCAAAGAUGUAUGAUAAUGAAGAUACUACGUCUCCGUUUAUCAUCUCUUAAUCGGAAAAUCUGAAUUAUACAAACUUUUAGAAUACAAUUUUUUCAUUGUAUGUUAAAUGAUUUUACUAAAUUAGAGUUUCUAAAUGUUAAAUGUAUACAGGCUAAGCAUAAUCAUUCUUAUGGAGUGGCUUCAUUUGAUGUCGUCUUUGGAGAAGAUAGGACAGCCCUAUAUAAUGUCAAAAGGUUAGUGAGAUGAUAAAGAUUGACUAUUUAUUUUUAAUUGUUAUGAAUAGAAAGCUGCUCUUAUACAUUUAGAAUUAGUAGUAUUGUUAUAGUCAUUUUAUUUUUGGCAUUCUAUGUUAAAAUGAGUUAACUAUAAUAGCUAUUAGCAAUACACCGAUUUCUGCUAUUGUUUGAUAAUACUUAAUCACCCUUACUGAUUAUGCACAUGUAAACGAUACCUUCAUAUAGCCUAAUAAGAAGUUACAAACACUGUAAACUUUUGAAAACAAAGUUUAGGUAUUUUGAUUUGAUUAUUUGAGAUUCUUAAAAAAUGAAAAUUGAAAAUAACAGAUCUGCGAUUCUAAACAACAUCAUGUGUUCUCUGCUCCGCUCUUCAGUAACACCAUUGCUUGCCAAGUGCAAGUUUUUAAACCAGCUUGUACCUGUAAGCACACAAAAAAAAAAUUUGAUUGUUUUCAUAGUAUUGCAGAGAUAUAACAAUCAAUUCUGAGAGAAUAAUAGCUGGAAUACGACUUAUAAUAGUCGUGUUCAUGAGGGACGUUUUGAAGCCAUGCUUGGUCGCUCUGUACUUCCCCAUAGAUUUGGAGAGUGUAAAAUUUUACACAAUUCUUCACUCAAGAUUUGAUGAACCUUUGAAAAUUGUUGUUUCUUUAUAGUAGCAUGAAUCAAAGUACCCUAUAUAGAAGACAAUAAAACUCGUGUUAAUAAGCAUAUCUGUUAAUGAUAAUUUUAAGACUAUAAAGAGUUUAAGAUCUAGUGAAAAUUGAUUGUAUACUUACAUCUGUAUGCAGCGGUGAUACCAAGAUUUGCAGCCAUUGUUUCAAAGGAGUAGCAAUUGCAAAGUGAUCGUAUGAAAGGUUAGUGUGUAUCUUAAAUGGCAUUAGACAUUAGGUAUUUAUAUGAAAAGAGGUCGGUUAUAUUAUUUUAGGGUUUUAAGAAUCAUAUCAACAUCCAGAUAUUUACGAAUAUGGAUUUUAAAGGUAUAUGCUCGAUUUGUUAGUAUAUCAAUAUCUAGUUAUUGUUAUAUUUAGUAAAUAGAAUAACUUUGAUCGUGUUUAAAGAGAUUUAUCUCUAUUUAGUUAGCGAAAUUCUUUGGAUUUUUUUUUGUUAUAGAAAUCUGUUUAAAUGAUAACUAACAGAUUUGGUUAUAGCAUUAAUUUCAGAAGCAUAAAACCUUCGAGAAGCUUAGGCUGAAUCAAAAUCAGCGAAGCCCAAUUGUUCUUACAUUUGCGAGGAAACGGCAAGUAAACACAAUGGACCAGGAUCCACGAAGCCCAAUAAGAAUAGAUCCGCUAAGGCCAUCAGAUCCUCUUACUCUAUGCUUACCAAGGUCCGCGUGUUUUUUUGAAUUGUAUUGGUGAAGGUCCGACCCAAAUACCCAAGAUCCGCGUCUUUUUACAUGCAAAUUAUCCAGUUUACCCUUUAACGAUUUUUGAUGUGUUCUCUUAUAAUGUAAUUAUCCUAAUGGCAAUCUUUGUAAUUUUUUACACUUUUUAAGGUUAUUUUUCAGAGAAUGCUUCCUAAUUAAUAGUAUAGAUU